rnacentral:rRNA from 1 species
UUGGUAAAGGUAACCGGCUUACCCAAGGCAAUCGAUGCAUAGCCGACCUGAGAAGGGUGAUCGNCCACACUGGACNUGAGACACGGUCCAGACUCCUACGGAGGCACAUAGGGAAUCUUCCGCAAUGGGCGAAGCCUGACGGAGCACGCCGCCGUGAGUGAUGAAGGUCUUCGGAUCGUAAACUCUGUUAUUAGGGAAGAACAUAUGUGUAAGUAACUGUGCACAUCUUGACGGUACCUAAUCAGAAAGCCACGGCUAACUACGUGCCAGCAGCCCGGUAAUACGUAGGUGGCAAGCGUUAUCCGGAAUUAUUGGGCGUAAAGCGCGCGUAGCGGUUUUUUAAGUCUGAUGUGAAAGCCCACGGCUCAACCGUGGAGGGUCAUUGGAAACUGGAAAACUUGAGUGCAGAAGAGGAAACGUGGAAUUCCAUGUGUAGCGGUGAAAUGCGCAGAGAUAUGGAGGAACACCAGUGGCGAAGGCGACUUUCUGGCCUGUAACUGACGCUGAUGUGCGAAAGCGUGGGGAUCAAACAGGAUUAGAUACCCUGGUAGUCCACGCCGUAAACGAUGAGUGCUCCAGUGUUAGGGGGUUUCCGCCCCUUAGUGCUGCAGCUACGCAUUA